rnacentral:rRNA from 1 species
CAAUAGCGUAUAUUAAAGCUGUUGCGGUUAAAAAGCUCGUAGUUGGAUUUCUGUCAAGGACAACUGGUCCGCCCCUCGGGUGAGCACAUAGUUUGGUCUUGGCAUCUUGUUGGAAACUGUUGCUGCACUUGGUUGUGUGGCGCAGUGUCCAGCACUUUCACUUUGAGGAAAUUGGAGUGUUUCAAGCAGGCACAUGCCUUUGGACACAGUAGCAUGGAAUAAUUAGAUUGGGCUUUUGCUCCAACUUGUCGGUUUCUGGAGCUGAGGUGAGAAUUAAUGGGGAUUGUUGGGGGCAUCCGAAUUUAGCCGUCAGAGGUGAAAUUCUUGGAUCUGCUAAAGACGGACAACUGCGAAAGCGUUUGCCCAGGAUGUUUUCAUCGA